rnacentral:rRNA from 1 species
AUUGAACGCUGGCGGCAUGCUUUACACAUGCAAGUCGAACGGCAGCGGGGAGGAGCUUGCUUCUCUGCCGGCGAGUGGCGAACGGGUGAGUAAUACAUCGGAACGUGUCGAGAAGAGGGGGAUAACCACCCGAAAGGGUGGCUAAUACCGCAUAAAUUCUGAGGAAGAAAGCUGGGGACCUGGGAAUAGGCCUAGCGCUUUUUGAGCGGCCGAUGUCGGAUUAGCUAGUUGGUGAGGUAAAGGCUCACCAAGGCGAAGAUCUGUAGCGGGUCUGAGAGGAUGAUCCGCCACACUGGGACUGAGACACGGCCCAGACUCCUACGGGAGGCAGCAGUGGGGAAUUUUGGACAAUGGGGGCAACCCUGAUCCGGCCAUGCCGCGUGUAUGAAGAAGGCCUUAGGGUUGUAAAGUACUUUUGUUAGGGAAGAAAAGUCAGCUGUGAAUAAUGGCUGAUACUGACGGUACCUAAAGAAUAAGCACCGGCUAACUACGUG